rnacentral:rRNA from 1 species
UAAUACGGAGGGUGCAAGCGUUGUUCGGAAUUAUUGGGCGUAAAGCGUGCGUAGGCGGACUGUUAAGUCUGAUGUGAAAUCCCUCGGCUCAACCGAGGACGUGCAUUGGAUACUGGCAGUCUUGAAUCCCGGAGAGGAGAGCGGAAUUCCUAGUGUAGAGGUGAAAUUCGUAGAUAUUAGGAGGAACACCAGUGGCGAAAGCGGCUCUCUGGACGGUGACUGACGCUGAGGCACGAAAGCAUAGGUAGCAAACAGGAUUAGAUACCCUGGUAGUCUAUGCCGUAAACGAUGGGUACUAGUUGGUGCGGGUAUUGACCCCUGCGCUGACGAAGCUAACGUAUUAAGUACCCCGCCUGGGGAGUACGGCCGCAAGGCUA